rnacentral:rRNA from 1 species
GGGUGCGAUCAUACCAGCACUAAUGCGCCGGAUCCCAUCAGAACUCCGAAGUUAAGCGU